AUUGAACGCUGGCGGCAGGCCUAACACAUGCAAGUCGAGCGCGAAAGUUCUUCGGAAUGAGUAAAGCGGCGGACGGGUGAGUAAUACAUGGGAAUCUGCCUGGUAGUGGGGGACAACGUUUCGAAAGGAACGCUAAUACCGCACACGCCCUACGGGGGAAAGGGGGGGUCGCAAGACCUCUCGCUGUCAGAUGAGCCCAU
rnacentral:rRNA from 1 species